rnacentral:tRNA from 1 species
GUGGUCGUAGCUCAACGGUUAGAGCUCCUGCUUGUGGAGCAGGGGGUUGCGCGUUCGAAUCGCGUCGAUCACC